rnacentral:lncRNA from 1 species
GAAAAUCAAGGACAUCUCGGGGUUUUGGGAUUGAACGGGAAGAAGCACGAUUUAUAACGGAUUUCGGUGACCAGUUUGCCGAAAAAAAAACUCAAGGGGGCGAUCGGAACUCCGUCAAACGCCGGUUUUGCUACUCUGUUCGCUGAACCUACGCCAAUCACCCUCCAUUUUUUUUCUUUACUGAGUGCGUGUGUGCGGUG